rnacentral:rRNA from 1 species
AGUUUGAUCAUGGCUCAGAAUGAACGUUGGCGGCGUGGAUUAGGCAUGCAAGUCGAGCGAGAACCGUAGCAAUACGGGGACAGCGGCGAAAGGGAGAGUAAUGCGUGGAUACCUACCCUCGGGUCCGGGAUAGCUGCGGGAAACUGCAGGUAAUACCGGAUGACAUCUCCGGAUCAAAGGUGUGAUUCCGCCCGGGGAGGGGUCCGCGUCCUAUUAGCUAGUUGGCGAGGUAACGGCUCACCAAGGCUGAGAUGGGUAUGGGAUGUGAGAGCAUGAUCCCACUCACUGGGACUGAGACACUGCCCAGACACCUACGGGUGGCUGCAGUCGAGAAUCUUCGGCAAUGGGGGCAACCCUGACCGAGCGACGCCGCGUGCGAGAUGAAGGCCUUCGGGUUGUAAGUCGCUGUCAGAGGGGAGGAAAUGCCGGUGAGUUCUCUCAUCGGUUUGACCUAUCCUCAGAGGAAGGACGGGCUAAGUUCGUGCCAGCAGCCGCGGUAAGACGGACCGUCCAAACGUUAUUCGGAAUCACUGGGCUUAAAGGGUGCGUAGGCGGUCCGGGAAGUUGGGUGUGAAAGCCCUCGGCUCAACCGAGGAAUUGCGCCCAAAACUGCCGGACUCGAGGG